AAAAAUCAUGUUUAAUUAAUAUAAAUCAUUUUUAUAUUCAAAUAAGGGUAGUUCGGCCAAUUAAACCACACCCAAAAUCUGAAACAUAUCUCACUUCCGAAAAUAAAGCAACCCCUUUCUUCCAUUAUUCCAUAGAUUUUUACAGUUUUCGAAAAAUCACAAUCCGUUGCAGACAAACGAUUUAGAGAGCAAAAGAAUUUUGAAGAAGGUCGCCGGCGGUGAGUUCAUUCAGUUUUUGGAAAGAUUGGAACCGCUGAUUUCAUUUAUUCAGUUUUUUAAAAAGAUUCGAAUGUGGGUAAACCAUUGCCGAUCUUGAUUUCUAUUGCACUUUUUUGUUGUACUAUGUUGAUUACUUUUUCAUUCGAAACUCCAUCUGUCUUUUUUAUAUAAAAAAUGUGUAGAUCUAAAAUGUUUUGUUGUUUCUAAUGUUGAGAUGCACUAAAAAAUAAAGCUUCGAAAAUGACAUAUAUACUAAGCAAAAAGUCAGUCUACAUGAUGCACUAGAAUUUACUUUACUAUUUCAUUUAACUAUUUAUAUUUUACAAAUGUUUCGAAUAUUUGAAUGAAAUUACUCUGUAUUCAUUGUUUUUUUUAUUAAGUUUAAAUUAAGAAGUUGUAUAUUGAUUUCUAUACUGUAUUUGUUUUUUAUUUCGUUGGUUCUGGUAUUUGUCUUUUGAUGUCUCAAGGAUAUUCCUUUUUUUUUUUUCUGUAAUUCAUUUGCUUGUAUUUUGGGUGGUUCUUUUAUGUAAUUACCUCGAGAAUUGGCUCACAAAUUGUUUCAGAUGAUGUGUUUUUUUAUAGAUUUUCCAUCUCAUCCAUGGUCCUAGCAGCACCUAGAAGGGUUUGUGGGAAUUAAGGUUUGUAGCUGUAAUUCUCUGAAUUUUGCGAGAAAACUCAGCAAGGACAUUUAUUGUUGGAUUGCAUACUAUGGAAUAUUCUUCAAGAUGAUUAAGCAUUACAACUCAAGAGAUAAUGGGAUAAGUAGUUUGAAGGAUCGAGCAGCUUGCAAGUUAUGCUACCUACACUUUUUUCAUGUUCUUUUCCAGUUGAUUGUUUGUAUAUUGUUCAUUGAAAAGUAGUUAUUAUUCGAUAUAUAUUGUUAUAUUGUUCGAAUGUUUAGGUAUGACAUUUGAAAAUUUAAUAUUUAAUAAUUUGUCAUUAAAAAGUUUUGGUUGUUUGAAACUAGAGUGAUUUGCUGAUUGAUAAAACAAUCCUCAAGUGUGUAAUUUUGAAGUUCUAAUCUUUUUUCAAACUCAAACUCAUUAUUUGUUCAUUUAUAAAUUAAAUUCUG
rnacentral:lncRNA from 1 species